AUUAACUUUUGGCUAAGAUCAAGUGUAGUAUCUGUUCUUAACAGUUUAAUGUCGGAUACGUCCUCUAUCAGACAACAUAUUAAAUGUAUUUUUGGAAUUGGGAAAUGGAAUAGGAGCCUGCUGCAUCCACUCCACACAUCGACCUGGUAUUGCAGUACUUCCAGGAAUGGUGCACCCACU
ensembl:snRNA U2 U2 spliceosomal RNA